rnacentral:rRNA from 1 species
UACGUAGGGGCCUAGCGUUGUCCGGAAUUAUUGGGCGUAAAGAGCUCGUAGGCGGUUCGGCAAGUCGGAUGUGAAAUCUCCACGCUUAACGUGGAGGGGCCAUUCGAAACUGCUGUGACUCGAGUCCGGUAGGGGAGUGUGGAAUUCCCGGUGUAGCGGUGAAAUGCGUAGAGAUCGGGAGGAACACCCGUGGCGAAGGCGGCCUGCUGGGCCGAUCCUGACGCUGAGGCGCGAAGGCGUGGGGAGCGAACGGG